rnacentral:misc_RNA from 1 species
GAUGAAGAACGUAGCGAAAUGCGAUAAGUAAUGUGAAUUGCAGAAUUCAGUGAAUCAUCGAAUCUUUGAACGCACAUUGCGCCCCUUGGUAUUCCGAGGGGCAUGCCUGUUCGAGCGUCAUUAUAACCCCUCAAGCUCAGCUUGGUGUUGGGGCCUGCCGCACGGGCAGCCCUUAAAAUCAGUGGCGGUGCCAUCUGGCUCUAAGCGUAGUAAUUCUUCUCGCUAUAGAGUCCCGGUGGAUGCUUGCCAUUAACCCCCAAUUUUCUAUGGUUGACCUCGGAUCAGGUUGGGAUACCCGCUGAACUUAAGCAUAUCAAUAAGCGGAGGA